UACGAAGGGGGGCUAGCGUUGCUCGGAAUCACUGGGCGUAAAGGGUGCGUAGGCGGGUCUUUAAGUCAGGGGUGAAAUCCUGGAGCUCAACUCCAGAACUGCCUUUGAUACUGAGGAUCUUGAGUUCGGGAGAGGUGAGUGGAACUGCGAGUGUAGAGGUGAAAUUCGUAGAUAUUCGCAAGAACACCAGUGGCGAAGGCGGCUCACUGGCCCGAUACUGACGCUGAGGCACGAAGGCCAGGGGAGCAAACGGGGAUUAGAAUGACC
rnacentral:rRNA from 1 species